UACGGGGGGGGCAAGCGUUGUUCGGAAUUACUGGGCGUAAAGGGCGCGUAGGCGGUCGCCUAAGUCGGACGUGAAAUCCCCAAGCUUAACUUGGGAACUGCGUCUGAUACUGGGUGACUUGAGUUCGGGAGAGGAAUGUGGAAUUCCAGGUGUAGCGGUGAAAUGCGUAGAUAUCUGGAGGAACACCGGUGGCGAAGGCGGCAUUCUGGACCGAAACUGACGCUGAGGCGCGAAACCCAGGGGAGCAAACGGG
rnacentral:rRNA from 1 species